UGUGUAGGCGGUUCUUUAAGUUUGCUGUGAAAUCUCCCGGCUUAACCGGGAGGGUGCGGUGAAUACUGAGGGACUAGAGUACGGGAGAGGAAAGUGAAAUUCCUGGUGUAGCGGUGAAAUGCGUAGAUAUCAGGAGGAACACCGGUGGUGUAGACGGCUUUCUGGACCGACACUGACGCUGAGACACGAAAGCGUGGGUAGCAAACA
rnacentral:rRNA from 1 species